AUGGCCACAUCAAGUUGAAAUACUGGUUCUCAUACGCUCACUGAAGUUAAGCAAUGUCAUGCCUGAGUAGUACCUAGAUGGGUGACUGCUUGGGAAUACCAGAUGCUGUAA